CCGAGUUUACAACUCCCAAGCCCCUGUGAACAUACCAAUUGUUGCCUCGGCGGAUCAGCCCGCUCCCGGUAACACGGGACGGCCCGCCAGAGGACCCCUAAACUCUGUUUCUAUAUGUAACUUCUGAGUAAAACCAUAAAUAAAUCA
rnacentral:misc_RNA from 1 species